AGCCGAGCGGUAUUUCUUCUUCGGAAGAGAGAGAGCGGCGUACGGGUGCGUAACACGUGUGCAACCUACCUUUAUCUGGGGGAUAGCCUUUCGAAAGGAAGAUUAAUACCCCAUAAUAUAAUUGAUGGCAUCAUUGAUUAUUGAAAACUCCGGUGGAUAGAGAUGGGCACGCGCAAGAUUAGAUAGUUGGUGAGGUAACGGCUCACCAAGUCUGUGAUCUUUAGGGGUCCUGAGAGGGAGAUCCCCCACACUGGUACUGAGACACGGACCAGACUCCUACGGGAGGCAGCAGUGAGGAAUAUUGGACAAUGGGUGAAAGCCUGAUCCAGCCAUCCCGCGUGAAGGAUGACGGUCCUAUGGAUUGUAAACUUCUUUUGUACAGGGAUAAACCUACUCUCGUGAGGGUAGCUGAAGGUACUGUACGAAUAAGCACCGGCUAACUCCGUGCCAGCAGCCGCGGUAAUACGGAGGGUGCAAGCGUUAUCCGGAUUUAUUGGGUUUAAAGGGUCCGUAGGCGGACCUGUAAGUCAGUGGUGAAAUCUCAUAGCUUAACUAUGAAACUGCCAUUGAUACUGCGGGUCUUGAGUAAAUUUGAAGUGGCUGGAAUAAGUAGUGUAGCGGUGAAAUGCAUAGAUAUUACUUAGAACACCAAUUGCGAAGGCAGGUCACUAAGAUUUAACUGACGCUGAUGGACGAAAGCGUGGGUAGCGAACAGGAUUAGAUACCCUGGUAGUCCACGCCGUAAACGAUGCUAACUCGUUUUUGGAUUUUCGGAUUCAGAGACCAAGCGAAAGUGAUAAGUUAGCCACCUGGGGAGUACGUCCGCAAGGAUGAAACUCAAAGGAAUUGACGGGGGCCCGCACAAGCGGUGGAUUAUGUGGUUUAAUUCGAUGAUACGCGAGGAACCUUACCAAGACUUAAAUGGGAAUUGACAGGUUUAGAAAUAGACCCUUCUUCGGACAAUUUUCAAGGUGCUGCAUGGUUGUCGUCAGCUCGUGCCCUGAGGUGUUAGGUUAAGUCCUGCAACGAGCGCAACCCCUGUCACUAGUUGCUAACAUUUAGUUGAGGACUCUAGUGAGACUGCCUACGCAAGUAGAGAGGAAGGUGGGGAUGACGUCAAAUCAUCACGGCCCUUACGUCUUGGGCCACCACGUAAU
rnacentral:rRNA from 2 species